AUAACAACUUUUGCCUUCCCGUGCCUUCCCGACCUCUAGAAGAUUCACAGCCACUUUUACUCAGGCCAGAAAGGGAGCACUUCUUUUCCUGAGUGACUCAACAGAAGCCCUAUGACCCCUGCAAAUACAGUGCUUCAUAAGCACCAGGGACUGCCAUGACUGGUAACAGGGACAUUGCCAUGAUUGGUGCCACCCUUCGUUUGCAUGAGGAGACUGCAUUGACAUAACCGGUGCAUAUACCCCGGCCACAUCCCUUUCUUAGCUGUAGAAGCAAGCCUCUAAGCCCAUUUUGGGAGCAACUCAGAGAUGCCUUCCUGUGUUGCUCUCUGAUGUGACCAUAUUGGGUCCAAAUAAAGAUUUCUCUCAACAUGUCUUUUGGGUCUACUUUUGAUCUUUAUCAGUAGUAGAAUGGCUGAGCUGGUAGCAGAUAGAAAAGAAGUGACAGCAGAAGAAAGAAUAAAGUUGGAGGGGCCAGAGGACCAAACCAGCAAAAAGUGGUGUUUGAGCUGACAAACGUCUCCUAUGACAGUGGAGCAGCCUUGGAAAGACUGAGACUAAUCAGACUCAGGGCAGGAGGGAGAAAAGUGGUCCUCAGCUC